rnacentral:tRNA from 1 species
GGUUUAUAGUCAAAAAUGAUUUUAAAUUGCAAAUUUAAAGGUAAACAAAGUUUUUAAACCU